rnacentral:lncRNA from 1 species
CCAGUUGACACAGGGUGCCACUGCUGGACCCUUUGGUGGCGACAGCUUCACUCAGUAAGACAGGACACGGUCACCUUCCUGGCAAGAGAGAGGGCAGCGAACCCUGUGUUGGGGUGGCAGUAGGAGCAGGAGAUGGGCACCGUGCUCACCCACAGGCCAGGCAUGUGCCAGAAGUCCUGUCACUGGGGAUUUUUUUAAAAAUAGACUGGAUGAAACACAAGACGGUGGAUGGACAGAUCGGUCCUGCCUUGGCCGGGGGACAGGUCUCCACGAAUGGCAGGUCUCAGUCUGGAACUGAUUUGACUCCAGUCACCAGAGCCGCUGCUACCAGGGAUUUUGUAAGAGUCUGCAAGGCCUUUAAUCUCUUCCCCUACAAAUAGCUCUGCAAACGCCUCUCCUGGCACCGUGCCCCAGGGAGCUGUGAGCAUCCCUGCACCACGCCACGACCUCACAAGCACCCAGCUGUACCCCCCGGGAGGGUCACCUGCCUCGUGUCCCUUCUCUAGCUCAGAACCGUGCCUGGGGAUGACAGGGAUGUGGCAAGCAAUGGAUUCAUGGUCCCUGUGCUCUCCUGCCUGGGGUGACAGGGAGGUCUCCACGAGGAAUUUCGGUGCAGAUGUUUAAUAACAGCGGGACACGUGAAGUCUUGUUCGCCUUCACGGCUAUCGGUGCUGCUCAGCCACGC